CGUGCAGGCGGUUUCGUAAGUCGGACGUGAAAGCUCCUGGCUUAACUGGGAGAGGCCGUUCGAUACUGCGGGACUUGAGGUUGGGAGAGGGACGUGGAAUUCCCGGUGUAGUGGUGGAAUGCGUAGAUAUCGGGAGGAACACCAGUGGCGAAGGCGGCGUCCUGGCCCAUACCUGACGCUGAGACGCGAAAGCGUGGGUAGCGAACG
rnacentral:rRNA from 1 species